UGUAUUGAGAAAAGGUUGAGAAAGUAUCUGUGUAUAUCUUUCCGUCUUAAAAAGGAGAAGAAAAUACAAACUUACACAGUUUCUGUGUAUAAGAAAGAGACAUGCAUUAUAAGCUAAUUUCUUUAAUAGUGUAGAUAUGGAUUGGGACACUCAAAUAGUUUAGAUGUAGAUUAGCCCCCAAAAUUUACACAUUUAAUUACAAAUAAAAGAAUGUAGAUUAGCCCCUCACACAGAGAUUGCAAAGAUUAUAUGCUUCGAAUGCAACAGCAAAAAAAAUGAGAUGGCAUGUUGAGCAUGAGCAUGAAUAUGGGGUAAUGCGUCAUUGUUCAGAUGCAACUAUGUGGAAGCAUUUUAAUGAGACACAUCCGUCAUUUGCUGAUGAGGUUCGGAAUGUAAGACUAGGACUAUGCACUGAUGGGUUUUAACCAUUCGGUCAGUCAGGACAACAAUAUUCAUCUUGGCCAAUUAUUGUCACUCCUUACAAUUUGCCUCCUUGGUUAUGUAUGAAGGAUGAGUAUAUGUUCCUAACGAUAAUAGUUCCUGGUCCGAAAAACCCAAAGGACAAAUUGGAUGUGUACUUUCAGCCCCUUAUUGCAGAGUUGAAAUAGUUGUGGAAAGUUGGAGUUGAGACAUAUGAUGCAUCUAAGAAGAAUAAUUUUAAUAUGAGGGUUGCGUUAUUAUGGACAAUAAGUGAUUUCCCUGCAUAUUCAAUGUUGUCUGGUUGGAGCACAACCGGCAAGACUGCUUCUCCAUAUUGCAAGGAAGAUUCAGAUGCAUUCACAUUAACAAAGGGUAGAAAACAAUCAUGGUUUGAUAAUCACCGUAAAUCUUACAAGCUGACCAUCCUUUCAGACGGAAUAAAACUACUUUUAGAAAGAACAAGACAGUUACAAAAAGUGCUCCCCCCAUUCUAUCUGAUGGGGAGAUUUUAGAACAAAUAGAACAUCUAGGAUUAAUGUGUGUCAUAGAUGUGGGUGCAGAUGAGAAUAACAGUCACAAAGCAAAAAAUAAGGCUUGGAAGAAACAGAGCAUUUUUUGGGAUUUGCCAUAUUGGAGUACUAACAUGCUUCACCACAACCUGGAUGUCAUGCAUAUAGAGAAAAAUGUAUUUGAAAAUAUUUUUAACACUGUAAUGAAUGUUGAAGGGAAGACAAAGGACAAUGCAAAAUCAAGGGAAGAUUUGAAAGAGUUUUGUCAUCAACAUGAGUUGGAGAGGAAUAUGGCAACAGGAAAGUAUCCUAAAGCAUGUUACACAUUAGACAAACAAUCAAAAGCAGAGUUGUGUGGAUGGCUUAAAAAUCUUAGAUUCCCAGAUGGUUAUGUGUCAAACAUGGGUAAGUGUAUAGACAUGCGAAAACUGAAGUUGUUUAGGAUGAAAAGCCAUGAUUGUCAUGUCUUUAUGCAGAGAUUACUCCCAAUAGCAUUUAGAGAAUUGCUUCCACAAAAUGUGUGGUAGGCAUUGAUCGAAUUGAGCAAUUUCUUUAGAGAGUUAACUUCAACAACACUCAGAUAAGAAGACAUGUUACAACUCAAUGAAAAGAUUCCUAUAAUAUUAUGUAAACUAGAGCGUAUAUUCCCUCCAAGUUUCUUUGACUCCAUGGAACAUCUCCUAGUGCAUUUGGCUUAUGAAGCAUGGAUUGCUAGUCCAGUGCAAUAUCGGUGGAUGUAUCCAUUUGAGAGGUAACUAGUUUAUUAUAUUAUUGUGUACUAUCAAUAUAUGGAGAAUUAAAAACCUUAUUGUAACUAAAUACUAAGUGGUACAGGUACCUUAGGAAGUUAAAAAAUAAUGUGAAAAAUAAAGCCAAAGUGAAAGGUUCCAUAAACAAUGCAUACUUAGUUGAAGAAGCAUCGUCGUUUUGUGCUCAUUAUUUCGAACCUCAUGUCAACACAAGGCAGCAAAAAGUUCCACGCAAUGCGCAAUGAUGAUGCAGUCAAACAUAUGGAUGAACAUCUAAGGAAUUUAUCAAUUUUCACUCAUUCUGGUAGGCCACUGGGAAAAGAAAAGGUUAGAUAUCUCAUAGAAGAAGAAUUUUAAGCAGCACAAAUGUACAUCUUGUUGAAUUGUAUAGAAGUAAAACCGUACAUUGAGCAAGUUUUUCUAAUAUUCAAUUAUUAUAAUUGUUGCAAUACCAUCAUUGAUUCAAAACAUGUAAUUGAGUGUUUUUAUUGCAUGCAGCAUUUUUAUUAAUGAGUUACACAUGAGCAAUCCAAAUAUGAAUGAUAAACAAGUUGAUGAGAAACUGGAGCAUGAAUUUGAUAAGUGGUUUAAUAAAUAUGUUCACAAUCCCUCCAAUAAUAUAUCAAGCCAGUUCUUAAAGGAUCUAUCCAAGGGUCCAUUAAGAAGUGUUAUGUCCUACAAUGGUUAUGUAGUUAACGGUUAUAAAUUUCACACUAAAAGCCAUGGUUCGCAUAGGGCAAUGAUGAACAGUGGGGUAUGCAUCAAGGGGACUAAUUACAGUACUGACGAGAGUGACUAUUAUGGACAAUUAAUUAAAGUGCUACGAUUGGAGUACCCCGGAUUACCAAUCAAAAGAACUGUAUUGUUUAAAUGUGAUUGGUUUGAUCCAACAACAAAUGUGGGAACAAAGAUUCAUCCAAAAUAUAAACUUGUGGAUAUUAAUCAUAAAUGAUCAUUCAAUAGGUAUGAACCAUUUGUUCUUUCUAUCCAAGCUACUCAAGUUAAUUAUUCCAUAUAUCCAAGCUUAAAGCGUGACAAGGAUGAUUGGUGGGCCCUAUUCAAAAUCAAAGCGAGAUCUAUUAUUGAUCUUCCUAAUCAAGUGAAUGUGACAACCCCCCCUGCAUAGGAAGAACCCUUUCAAGAAGAUGAAAUGGAAGUCCCUUUGAUAUAAAUUGAUGAUCAACAACAAUAUUUGAAUGAUCUAAGCAGUGUAUUAGUUGAAAUUGAUGAAGAAGACAUUGAGGAUGAAGAGGAAAUUAAGUUGGACUCAGAAAGCAAUGAGGAAGAUGGUGAUGAAUAUGAUAGUGAUACUAAUUAGAUUCAGGAUGUGAGGCAAUGGUCGUAAGGGAGGCUUAUUAGGCCAUUCACAGUCAAGGCAGUUACUUCGAUAGGAUGAGCCCAAUGAUUAGCUAGACCAGUCUGCACAGGUUCAACCUCAAGUUCCUUCACCAUCCACUGGGAGGUCGAUGCAAGAUCUGGAGGGUUCUACUGCUUCAACACAGCAUUGAGCUAUACCUCCACCUCCACCUCCACCUCCACCACCACCACCACCUAUUACCCCAUCUUUUGAGCCUGCAGUUGGAUCGACCUCUAGUCAUGAAGGUCAUUCAGUUGGGACAGUACCAAUAUCAUCGAUGGAUGGCCUAUCACUCACUACCUUCGAAAGAAAGAAACGAAUAAAGCUCAUUAAUGGCGCGUUACAUCCAUCUGAGGAAUGUGCUAAGAAGAUGAAGAGUAUCUUCAAGGAGAGAAUGGACCUAGAGGGGCACUGUUGGAAGACUGUUGUCACACCUUACCCCUCUGUAAGGUAUAACAUGAUCCCGUAGAAUACUUAAUGAACUACCGAACUUCACCUACCGAUAACUCAUUAAGUACCCUACAAGGGAUUUUAAAACAAUUUUAUUACAUUUUGGAAGUGGUGAGCAUUUUGGUAGGAAUUAAAAACCAUUUAUUCAAAGUUUAAUUACUAUAAAAAAAAAUUUUUUCCAUUUUAAUUU